GUUAGAGGGGUGAGUUCUUUUGGUGUUUAGACAAGAAAGCAUGGAAUUACCUUUAUCUCUCUCUGCAGCUGAUGCAUGGAGACGAUCCAAGAAGAAAACAACCGUAUCAGGGCCAGUGUUGUGUUUUGGGACAUGGUGGAGAAGUAGAAGCCCCUGGGGAGUUACAUGGAGUGAGAUUAUGAAUGGCCUCAUACACCAGACCGAGAAGCUCAGCAUGGGAGAGACAUGGUCAGAAGCGCUCCAUGGAACCACUGCCAAGGCUGCAGCAUGCUCAGUGCAGCCCAGCCAACAUAUGCAGUUCCCUGCACAGUGACAGCAAACAGAGGAGGCACUGGGGAUAAAGGAUGGAGAAGAUCCAGGCCAUUCCUUUGAGAGGAACAACAUUAAGUGCUUCUCAGACAGGUGUGAAGUUGGCCAAAUAGGAAAUGGAGAAGGCAGAUGCAGGUAAGCCUCUUGAUCACACUGAAGAAAUUGGUGAUGCCAAAGCAAAACUGGACUUGAUUGUUGCAGAUUCUGUGGAUGCCAAGUGAGGCAGUUUUUC
rnacentral:lncRNA from 1 species